UGAAAAAGGCUAGGCAAUUCACUUAUACACUAUGAUAUUCAGAACUAGCAGUGUACAAGACAAAUUGAAUCGUGAUUUAAAUAUGCAGUCCUAUAAAAUUAGGACUAAAUUGACACCCUAGAACUCUAGUUCUUUCUCGUUCCUUGUUUUGCUUCAUCAUUUUUGUUAGUGUAGUUCUCUGCCAGUUUCAU